AGCGAACGCUGGCGGCAGGCUUAACACAUGCAAGUCGAGCGGGCAUAGCAAUAUGUCAGCGGCAGACGGGUGAGUAACACGUGGGAACGUACCUUUUGGUUCGGAACAACUGAGGGAAACUUCAGCUAAUACCGAAUAAGCCCUUACGGGGAGAGAUUUAUUGCCAAAAGAUCGGCCCGCGUCUGAUUAGCUAGUUGGUAGGGUAAUGGCCUACCAAGGCGACGAUCAGUAGCUGGUCUGAGAGGAUGAUCAGCCACACUGGGACUGAGACACGGCCCAGACUCCUACGGGAGGCAGCAGUGGGGAAUAUUGGACAAUGGGCGCAAGCCUGAUCCAGCCAUGCCGCGUGAGUGAUGAAGGCCCUAGGGUUGUAAAGCUCUUUUAACGGGGAAGAUAAUGACGGUACCCGUAGAAUAAGCCCCGGCUAACUUCGUGCCAGCCGCCGCAGUAA
rnacentral:rRNA from 1 species